rnacentral:rRNA from 1 species
CAACCUGGAAACAGAUGCUAAUACCGGAUAACAACAGAUGAUGCCUAUCAACUGUUUAAAAGAUGGUUCUGCUAUCACUCUUGGAUGGACCUGCGGUGCAUUAGCUAGUUGGUAGGGUAACGGCCUACCAAGGCGAUGAUGCAUAGCCGAGUUGAGAGACCGAUCGGCCACAUUGGGACUGAGACACGGCCCAAACUCCUACGGGAGGCAGCAGGG